rnacentral:tRNA from 1 species
GCUCUGGUAGCUUAAUUGGUAAAGCCUUAUAAUGUCACUAUAAGAAAUGUCAGUUCGAACCUGAUGUAGAGCG